GACGAACGCUGGCGGCGUGCUUAACACAUGCAAGUCGAACGGUGAAGCGCCUUCCUUUUUGGUGGGUGUGGAUGAGUGGCGAACGGGUGAGUAACACGUUAGUAACCUGCUCCCUUCUUCUGGAUAACCGCAUGAAAGUGUGGCUAAUACGGGAUAUUCUGGGUCUGUCGCAUGAUGGGUCUGGGAAAGAUUUUGUUUCGGUGGGGGAUGGGGUCGCGGCCUAUCAGCUUGUUGGUGGGGUGAUGGCCUACCAAGGCGGUGACGAGUAGCCGGCCUGAGAGGGUGGGCGGCAACACAGGGAAGGAGACGCCGCCAAGACUCCGACGGGAGGCAGCAGUGGAGAAUAUUGCACAGUGGGCGGAAGGAUGAUGCAGCGACGCCGCGGGGGUGAUGGUGGCCGUCGGGUUGUGAACCUCUUUCGCGAGUGAAGCAGGGCUGCCUCGUUUGUGGGUGGGUUGACGGUAGCUGGAUAAGAAGCGCCGGCUAACUACGUG
rnacentral:rRNA from 1 species